rnacentral:tRNA from 1 species
GCAGAUGUAGCUAAGUUUGGUAGAGUAUGUGUUUAGCAUGCACAAGGCCCUGGGUUCAAUCUCCAGCACACUACA